CACAAGCGGCGGAGCAUGCGGAUUAAUUCGAUGCAACGCGAAGAACCUUACCAAGGCUUGACAUACACCGGUAACGCCCAGAGAUGGGUGCCCCUUUGUGGUCGGUGUACAGGUGGUGCAUGGUUGUCGUCAGCUCGUGUCGUGAGAUGUUGGGUUAAGUCCCGCAACGAGCGCAACCCUCGUCCUAUGUUGCCAGCGGGUCAUGCCGGGGACUCAUGGGAGACUGCCGGGGUCAACUCGGAGGAAGGUGGGGAUGACGUCAAAUCAUCAUGCCCCUUAUGUCUUGGGCUUCACGCAUGCUACAAUGGCCGGUACAAAGGGCUGCGAUACCGCGAGGUGGAGCGAAUCCCAGAAAGCCGGUCUCAGUUCGGAUUGGGGUCUGCAACUCGACCCCAUGAAGUCGGAGUCGCUAGUAAUCGCAGAUCAGCAACGCUCGCGGUUCCGAAUACGUUCCGGGCCUU
rnacentral:rRNA from 1 species